rnacentral:misc_RNA from 1 species
CCCAAAUACCAUAUCUGACCAUAUGUUGGCAAAUGCUCUACGGUUUUCUAACCUCCACUCAUCCCGUAGCUCCAACGCUUUGUGCCGUAACUCCCACCAGACCUCCUCAUCAGAAAGAGGUGGAGAUUUGCCAAUCUCUACUUCAAGCCGCAAUCUUGCUUGCUCUGUGUUUAGUUCCUUAACCAUUUCAAGCUUUUGAUUCCUUCUCACAUCAAGCAUCUGUGCUGCAAGUGGUACAGUCUUCACAUACCUGUCAAGAAAGGGCAUGAGAACAUAAUCAUGAACAGCAAAGUCCAGAGCCCAAGGAAUUAAUAU